AUUGAACGCUGGCGGCAGGCCUAACACAUGCAAGUCGAACGAGUGGCGGACGGGUGAGUAAUGUCUGGGAAACUGCCUGAUGGAGGGGGAUAACUCCUGGAAACGGUAGCUAAUACCGCAUACCAUCAGAUGUGCCCAGAUGGGAUUGGAUAGUUGGGGGGGUAACGGCGCACCAAGGCGACGAGCCCUAGCUGGUCUGAGAGGAUGACCAGCCACCCCGGAACGUAGACACGGUCAUGACUCCUACGGGAGGCAGCAGUGGGGAAUCUUGCACAAUGGGCGCAAGCCUGAUGCAGCCAUGCCGCGUGUAUGAAGAAGGCCUUCGGGUUGUACAGUACUUUCAGCGGGGAGGCUUUACCCGCAAUUGAGGCACCGGCUACCUCCGUGCCAGCAGCCGCGGUAAUAC
rnacentral:rRNA from 1 species